CAUGUCCAGUUCUGUAAACAAAUUCUCAACUGCACCAGAAGGCCUGACAGUUAAGAGAACCCAGUGAAGAAACCUUUUGCAGAGAGAGAAAAGAACCCUUUUGAAUGUGAUCAAUCACGCUGAUUUAUUUGGAUGAUUUCUCUUCUGGAUUUCCUUAAACCAGGGAAAACCCAGGGACAGCAAUUGCUAUAAUUGAUGCAAACGAUCCCAGCCACACUCCCUGAUCCUGGUUCUGAAACUCAGAGAUGCAGCUGACCAGACUGAUGUGGCCAGCCUCACUCUGAAGGAUCCUGCAGCAGACAAAUUGCUGGAAUGUGUUCAGACGGAAUCCAGCUGCUACAACCGUCACACAAACUUCCUGAAAUAGAGGACAAAAGAGACAGAGGUCUUGCUAUGUUGCCCAGGCUGGUCUCAAGCUCCUGGCCUCAAGCGAUUCUCCUUCCUCAGCCUCCAAAAGUGCUGGGAUUACAGGCCACAAAAUGCAUGGCACAGGGAAGGGUUUGACAACUUUUUGAUGGAUGAACAAAGAAGAUUCAAGCCACUUGUCAACAAGCUCAAAGUGAUUGAAAGUGGAAGCAUUUACCCACACGCUCAUGCAGAAAAUGACAGGAAAUCAUCCAGAGACACUUGUGACAGAGAUGAGAACUGUCACUGUUGAGAGGUGCUGCGGAGAUGGGUGUCCACGGAUGACCGUUCGGAGGCCGACUUCGGGGAUGUGGCCCCAUUAGCUCAAGAGUGGGUGACUCCCUACCACACUGAUGGCGUUGGCCAGGACAGGACAAGCCUACUGCAGUGACACAGUGUCACUGAUCCCUGAUGCCCACGUGGGUGUUUUACUUUAGCUAAUGCUGCAGAGAUAAUGCAGACAGAGAAAUGAGGCCCCAGCGCUGAGCAGCCCAAUCACCUGGUUGUAAGCAGCGAGUGUUUCUGGCUCUGCUCCUGGGCCCCAAACCACUGUGGGCUCACGAAGAAUCUUUCAGAGUUGGAGUCAGAAUGUCAGGGUUUGAGUGUAGUCUCCACCCCUUAAUGACCUUGCAUUGAUAAUUCUAUUCCCCGAGCCUCAUUUUACCCAUCUAUAAAAUGAGGACAAAUAGUUUAUUUCCUGGUUACUUCACUAAGAUGUUGUAUCAAAAAAGAAUAUAUGCAAUAAAAUGCUUUCCUAAGUAAAAAAAGAUUUCCUAAGUCAAA
rnacentral:lncRNA from 1 species